AUACGUAGGGGGCGAGCGUUGUACGGAGUGAUUGGGCGUAAAGGGCGCGUAGGCGGCCUGUUAAGUCUGGAGUGAAAGUCCUGUUUUCAAGAUGGGGACUGCUUUGGAUACUGUUGGGCUUGAGUGCAGGAGGGGUUAUCGGAAUUCCCGGUGUAGCGGUGAAAUGCGUAGAGAUCGGGUGGAACACCAGUGGCGAAGGCGGGUAACUGGACUGCAACUGACGCUGAGGCGCGAAAGUGUGGGGAGCAAACAGGAUUAGAUACCCUGGUAGUCCACACUGUAAACGAUGAAUGCUAGGUGUAAGAGGUAUCGACCCCUUUUGUGCCGGAGUUAACACAAUAAGCAUUCCGCCUGGGGAGUACGGCCGCAAGGUUGAAACUCAAAUGAAUUGACGGGG
rnacentral:rRNA from 1 species